rnacentral:lncRNA from 1 species
GUGCGGAAUGGAACACUGUGGAUCCGUCGGGUGGAGCGAGGCAGCGCUGGAGACUACACCUGCCAAGCCUCCAGCACUGAGGGCAGCGUCACCCACACUACUCAGCUGCUGGUGCUAGGUGCUCUUUGGUGGAAGGGCAGGGCAACCGGGCCACUUAGAGUAGAAAACAUGACCUAUACCGGGGAAGCACAUGGAAGAUUGGGAGGACGCUCAUGUUUGAGCAAGGGGCCCUGUAGGGUGAGAGAAAGGGUAAAGAAACAGUCAGUUUAGUGCCCAACAGUGCAUUGCAGUGGAAAGGAUAUGGGUGUUGGUGUUAGGUCAUGAAUCGUGGGACCCUCCUGAGUCCUCACAGAUCUCAACAAAAAAAAAAAAAAAAAA